rnacentral:rRNA from 1 species
GAUCCUGGCUCAGGAUGAACGCUGGCGGCGUGCCUAACACAUGCAAGUCGAACGAAGCACCUUUUGAGAUUCUUCGGAUGAUCGAUCGGUGACUGAGUGGCGGACGGGUGAGUAACGCGUGGGUAACCUGCCCUGUACAGGGGGAUAAAAGCUGGAAACGGACUGCUAAUACCGCAUAAGCGCACGAGGAGACAUCUCCUUGUGUGAAAACUACCGGUGGUACAGGAUGGGCCCGCGU